rnacentral:rRNA from 1 species
GGACGAACGCUGGCGGCGUGCUUAACACAUGCAAGUCGAACGGAAAGGCCCUGCUUUUGUGGGGUGCUCGAGUGGCGAACGGGUGAGUAACACGUGAGUAACCUGCCCUUGACUUUGGGAUAACUUCAGGAAACUGGGGCUAAUACCGGAUAGGAGCUCCUGCUGCAUGGUGGGGGUUGGAAAGUUUCGGCGGUUGGGGAUGGACUCGCGGCUUAUCAGCUUGUUGGUGGGGUAGUGGCUUACCAAGGCUUUGACGGGUAGCCGGCCUGAGAGGGUGACCGGCCACAUUGGGACUGAGAUACGGCCCAGACUCCUACGGGAGGCAGCAGUGGGGAAUAUUGCACAACGGGCGGAAGCCUGAUGCAGCAACGCCGCGUGCGGGAUGACGGCCUUCGGGUUGUAAACCGCUUUCGCCUGUGACGAAGCGUGAGUGACGGUAAUGGGUAAAGAAGCACCGGCUAACUACGUG